UUACGGUCAAAUCACAGAAAAUCACCGGUUCUCGUUCCGAACCGGUUCGUUCGAAGCAUCGUAGAGCCAGGUCAGUACUUUAGAUGGGGGACCGCUUGGGAACACCUGGUACUGUAAG